AGCCUCCAAGGGUAAGAGCUGAAUGGUGAAGCUGGGACUAGACACCAAUGAACUGGUGAGGCUGGGGGACAGGAGGAGGGAGGCUGAGCCAGAGAGUUGGGGGGCAGAGGAGGGGACAGCCUGCAUGCAUAGUGCCCAAUUAUAAUUGGGUUCAGCUGUGGCAGAUCUGGGUACACGUGAUAUUGUAAUUGUGUGUUUGCAAACUCAUGUAUGUGAGGCUGUGUGCACAAACAACUGGCUCUAUGUGAUUCUAUGUGUGUCCUGGGUUUCAGGCCAAACUCCUUCCCCUGGUGGCUCAGGACCUAAGGUUUUAUUGACCCAGUGGCUGUGUCCCUGCAAACCAGCCCCCACCCCAAGUCAUGCCCAGAAUUGGUUCUGCACACAGCCUUGUUUUUUUCAGUAACCCGGCUAUGGGACUGCAGUGCCCAAGGAAUCUCUGCUCUGGUUAGAAAAAGGACUCUGCUUCAGUCCACUUCUGCUCUGGUUAGAAAAAGGACUCUGCUUCAGUCCACAGUACAUAAAAUGUACUCAGCUAUUAGGUCUAUAAGAGCUGGAUGCACAUCAGGAGUGUGCCCCUCUGUAACAACUCUAGUCAGCACAGGCCAUGGUGCACAAAAGGGACUUGGAAAAUGAUG
rnacentral:lncRNA from 1 species